rnacentral:rRNA from 1 species
AGCGAACGCUGGCGGCGUGCCUAACACAUGCAAGUCGAACGUGAAAGGGAGCAAUCCCAAGUAAAGUGGCGUACGGGUGAGUAACACGUAGGUAAUCUACCCCAGAAUCUGGAAUAACCGGCCGAAAGGCUGGCUAAUACUGGAUAGAGCGACGGAAUCCGUAAUUGGGUUUUUCGGGAAAGGGGGCCUGUAAAAAGGCCUUCGUUCUGGGAUGGGCCCGCGUCCCAUCAGCGAGUUGGUGAGGUAAAAGCUUACCAAGGCAAUGACGGGUAGCUGGUCUGAGAGGAAGAUCAGCCAAACUGGAACUGGAACACGGGCCAGACUCCUACGGGAGGCAGCAGGGGGGAAUCUUGCGAAAUGGACGAAAGUCUGACGCAGCAACGCCGCGUGGGAGAAGAAGGCCUUCGGGUUGUAAAGCUCUGUCGAGUGGGACGAAAAUGAUUGGAGUUAACAGCUCCAGGAACUGACGGUACCACUAAAGGAAGCACCGGCUAACUCCGUG